UACCCGCAGCACAAGUGGUGGUCAUUAUUAUUGGGCCUAAAGCGUCCGUAGCUGGCGUGUUAGAUGCCUGGGUAAAUCGAUGCGCUCAACGCAUCGAAUUCCGGGUAGACCGGCACGCUCGAGACCAGGAGAGGCGUAGGGUACUCGGGGGGUAGGGGUAAAAUCCUGUAAUCCUCCGGGGACGACCAGUGGCGAAGGCGCUACGCUAGAACGGCUCUGACAGUGAGGGACGAAGCCCUGGGGCGCAAACCGG
rnacentral:rRNA from 1 species